GACCAGGCAAAAAGGCAGGAGUGGACGGUUGUGGGUGGGGAGGCAGCAUCUGUGGGGCUCUGACACCAGGCUUCCUGCACCCCUGCCGGGUCGCAGUCUCCCCUCCCCCCUCCGUUUCUGCCUUUUUGUCGCCCCUUUUCCCUGCAAACUUGGGCUGCCAUCUCUAACCGGGAAGGGCUGUGAGGAAUCUCGGGGAAGGCACACAGCUCCAGGGACGGUACUUUCGUUCUCCAGAGACAAGCCUGGGUUCCCCGGGGUGUCCAGACCGCGGCCCGGUGUCCCAUCCAGGUGCGGAUGCCUGGGAUUCCCAGGCCCCAGGGCUGGAGCCCUUUUCUCUCCUGGUUUAUCUUAGCGGCCGGCAAACCAGUAUCUCUGUUCGAAGGAACAUGGUUAAACCUUUUCUUCUAAAAGGAAGAAACCCAAAGAAAAUCCUUCUCUCCGCAAGGAAAGACCGCCAGAGGGCGCGCGCGGCUGCAAAACGGCGUCUGCUGCCCCUAGUAGCUCUUCUGUUCCAGGUUCGCAGGACCUUCUUGUCUGGCCUCCCUUCCGAAGAAAUACUACACAAAACCUGGUGUGUUUAAAGUGCAAGCGCUCGUUCCCGGCUGUCCCGCAGCUGCUGUCCCCAGUCCCCAAACAUGGACCCCGAGCUGCAGGGGUGCAGAGGCAGGGGGGACAGGCUGGGAGCAGCCACCCCGUGCCCUCUUCUGUGGCCGUUGAGAGAGCAGAGCGGCAUCCCGUGGCCUGGAGACACGCCCUCCCGUGUUUGGGGUCAGAACCCCGAGCGAACAUGCAUCAGAUAUUAAGGAAAGAAGGCAAAUGGCAGAGUGAGGAGUACAGUAAAGUAACAUAUGGCGGAUAAGAAACAGCUUAAACCCCCUGUGAACUUGCCCAGGCAUCCAGGGUGGAGCCCAGGAGCUAAGCUUCCACGGCCACGUGGAUUCCACCACCCUCCUCGCCCAAUCUCCGGGGACGCUCCCUGUUGGCUCCGUCUGGCUUCCUCAUCUGUAAACCAGAAAUAAAAUGCC